rnacentral:rRNA from 1 species
GGCUUACCAUGCAGUCGAGGGGCAGCAUGAAUAUUGGCUUGCCAAUAUUUGAUGGCGACCGGCGCACGGGUGAGUAACACGUAUCCAACCUUCCGGUUACUCGGGGAUAGGCUUUCGAAAGAAAGAUUAAUACCCGAUGUUGUGUAUCUUUCUCCUGAAAGAUACGCCAAAGGAUUCCGGUAACCGAUGGGGAUGCGUUCCAUUAGGCAGUUGGCGGGGUAACGGCCCACCAAACCUUCGAUGGAUAGGGGUUCUGAGAGGAAGGUCCCCCACAUUGGAACUGAGACACGGUCCAAACUCCUACGGGAGGCAGCAGUGAGGAAUAUUGGUCAAUGGACGGAAGUCUGAACCAGCCAAGUAGCGUGAAGGAUGACUGCCCUCUGGGUUGUAAACUUCUUUUAUACGGGAAUAACAUGAGGUACGCGUACCUUAUUGCAUGUACCGUUAUGAAUAAGCAUCGGCUAACUCCGUGCCAGCAGCCGCGGUAAUACGGAGGAUGCGAGCGUUAUCCGGAUUUAUUGGGUUUAAAGGGAGCGUAGGUGGGAUAUUAAGUCAGCUGUGAAAGUUUGGGGCUCAACCUUAAAAUUGCAGUUGAUACUGGUUUCCUUGAGUACGGUACAGGUGGGCGGAAUUCGUGGUGUAGCGGUGAAAUGCUUAGAUAUCACGAAGAACUCCGAUCGCGAAGGCAGCUCACCGGGCCGGAACUGACACUGAUGCUCGAAAGUGCGGGUAUCAAACAGGAUUAGAUACCCUGGUAGUCCGCACAGUAAACGAUGAAUACUCGCUGUUUGCGAUACACAGUAAGCGGCCAAGCGAAAGCGUUAAGUAUUCCACCUGGGGAGUACGCCGGCAACGGUGAAACUCAAAGGAAUUGACGGGGGCCCCGCACAAGCGGAGGAACAUGUGGUUUAAUUCGAUGAUACGCGAGGAACCUUACCCGGGCUUAAAUUGCGCUGGCUUUUACCGGAAACGGUAUUUUCUUCGGACCAGCGUGAAGGUGCUGCAUGGUUGUCGUCAGCUCGUGCCGUGAGGUGUCGGCUUAAGUGCCAUAACGAGCGCAACCCUUAUCUUUAGUUACUAACAGUUUUGCUGAGGACUCUAAAGAGACUGCCGUCGUAAGAUGCGAGGAAGGUGGGGAUGACGUCAAAUCAGCACGGCCCUUACGUCCGGGGCUACACACGUGUUACAAUGGGGAGCACAGCAGGUUGCUACACGGCGACGUGAUGCCAAUCCGUAAAACUCCUCUCAGUUCGGAUCGAAGUCUGCAACCCGACUUCGUGAAGCUGGAUUCGCUAGUAAUCGCGCAUCAGCCACGGCGCGGUGAAUACGUUCCCGGGCCUUGUACACACCGCCCGUCAAGCCAUGAAAGCCGGGGGUACCUGAAGUACGAACCGCGAGGAUCUCCUAGGUAACCUGUC